GCCCGCUGUAGCGCCACAGCUCUUUGGGCGUUGAUUCUAGGGUCAGGGCCCUCACUCACACUGCUGGAAGGUUAAAGUCGACUUCACGCUAGUUUAAGGAAAUAUCUGACGCUGAUAACCAUGUCCCAAGCACUGCUCUAAGUUCCCAAUGUGUCCGGAAUUGGUGGGUUCUUGGUCUCACUGACUUCAAGAAUGAAGCCACGGACCCUCGCGGUGAGUGUUACAGCUCUUAAAGUGGCGCGUCUGGAGUUUGUUCCUUCUGAUGUUCGGAUGUGUUCGGAGUUUUUUCCUUCUGGUGGGUUCGUGGUCUCGCCGGCUCAGGAGUGAAACUGCAGACCUGUUACGGCUCAUAAAGGCAGUGUGGACCCAAAGAGUGAGCAGCAGCAGGAUUUAUUGCAAAGAGAGAAAGAACAAAGCUUCCACAAUAGAAGGGGACCUGAGCCGGUUGCCACUGCUGGCUCCGGCAGCCUGCUUUUAUUGUCUUAUCUGGCCCCACCCACAUCCUGCUGAUUGGUAGAGCCGAGUGGUCUGUUUUGACAGGGUGCUGAUUGGUGCGUUUACAAUCCCUGAGCUAGACACAAAGGUUCUCCACAUCCCCACCAGACUCAGGAGCCCAGCUGGCUUCACCAAGUGGAUCCCACACCAGGGCUGCAGGUGGAGCUGCCUGCGAGAACGGCACCGUGCGCCCACACUCCUCAGCCCUUGGGUGGUGAUGGGACUGGGCGCCGUGGAGCAGGGGGUGGUGCUCGUCGAGGAGGCUCGGGCAGCACAGGAGCCCAUGGAGGGGGUGGGAGGCUCAGGCAUGGCGGGCUGCAGGUCCCGAGCCCUGCCCCUCGGAAAGGCAGCUAAGGCCCGGUGAGAAAUCGAGCACAGCGCCGGUGGGCUGGCACUGCUGAGGGACCCAGUACACCCUCCGCAGCCGCUGGCCCGGGUGCUAAGCCCCUCAUUGCCGGGGGCUGGCAGGGCCAGCCGGCUGCUCCGAGUGCGGGGCCCACCAAGCCCACGCCCACCCUGAACUCCAGCUGGCCCGCAAGCGCCGUGUGCAGCCCCGGUGCCCGCUCGCGCCUCUCCCUCCACACCUCCCUGCAAGCUGAGAGAGCCGGCUCUGGCCUUGGCCAGCCCAGAAAGGGGCCUCCACAGUGCAGCAGUGGGCUGAAGGGCUCCUCAAGUGCUGCCAAAGUGGGAG
rnacentral:lncRNA from 1 species